rnacentral:rRNA from 1 species
CCUACGGGUGGCAGCAGUGGGGAAUAUUGCACAAUGGGCGCAAGCCUGAUGCAGCCAUGCCGCGUGUGUGAAGAAGGCCUUCGGGUUGUAAAGCACUUUCAGCGGGGAGGAAGGCGUUAAGGUUAAUAACCUUGUCGAUUGACGUUACCCGCGGAAGAAGCACCGGCUAACUCCGUGCCAGCAGCCGCGGUAAUACGGAGGGUGCAAGCGUUAAUCGGAAUUACUGGGCGUAAAGCGCACGCAGGCGGUCUGUCAAGUCGGAUGUGAAAUCCCCGGGAUCAACCUGGGAACUGCAUUCGAAACUGGCAGGCUAGAGUCUGGUAGAGGGGGGUAGAAUUCCAGGUGUAGCGGUGAAAUGCGUAGAGAUCUGGAGGAAUACCGGUGGCGAAGGCGGCCCCCUGGACAAAGACUGACGCUCAGGUGCGAAAGCGUGGGGAGCAAACAGGAUUAGAUACCCCGGUAGUC